rnacentral:rRNA from 1 species
AGAGUUUGAUCCUGGCUCAGAGCGAACGCUGGCGGCAUGCUUAGCCCAUGCAAGUCGCACGGUUCGGGCUUCGGUUCGGGCAGUGGCGGACGGGUGAGUAUCGCGUAGGGAUUUAUCGUUGGGUGGGGGAUAACCGCGGGAAACUGCGGCUAAUACCGCAUGACGCCUGUGGGCCAAAGGCAGCAAUGGCCUGAUGAGGAGCCUGCGUCCGAUUAGCUAGUUGGUUGGGUAAUGGCUGACCAAGGCUGUGAUCGGUAGCUGGUCUGAGAGGAUGAUCAGCCACACUGGGACUGAGACACGGCCCAGACUCCUACGGGAGGCAGCAGUGGGGAAUAUUGGACAAUGGGCGCAAGCCUGAUCCAGCAAUGCCGCGUGGAUGAAGAAGGUCUUCGGAUUGUAAAGUCCUUUCGGCGGGGACGAAUUGAUGACGGUACCCGCAGAAGAAGCCCCGGCUAACUUCGUGCCAGCAGCCGCGGUAAUACGAAGGGGGCUAGCGUUGCUCGGAAUGACUGGGCGUAAAGGGCGCGUAAGCGGUCAGGUAAGUUACUUGUGAAAUCUCCGAGCUUAACUCGGAACGGCCAAGUAAUACUGCCAAACUAGAGUGCAGAAGGGGCAAUUGGAAUUCUUGGUGUAGCGGUGAAAUGCGUAGAUAUCAAGAGGAACACCAGAGGCGAAGGCGAAUUGCUGGGCUGACACUGACGCUGAGAUAUGAAAGCUAGGGGAGCAAACAGGAUUAGAUACCCUGGUAGUCCUAGCCUUAAACGAUGGAUGCUUGGUGUCUGGAGUUACAGUCUCCGGUGCCGUCGCUAACGCUUUUAGCAUCCCGCCUGGGGAGUACGCACGCAAGUGUGAAACUCAAAGGAAUUGACGG